rnacentral:rRNA from 1 species
AUUGGGCAUGGGCGAAAGCCUGACCCAGCCAUGCCGCGUGCAGGAUGACAGCCCUAGUGGUUGUAAACUGCUUUUAUACGAGAAGAAAUACUCCGACGUGUCGGAGUUUGACGGCAUCGUAAGAAUAAGCACCGGCUAACUCCGUGCCAGCAGCCGCGGUAAUACGGAGGGUGCAAGCGUUAUCCGGAUUCAUUGGGUUUAAAGGGUGCGUAAGCGGAAUAGUAAGUCAGUGGUGAAAUCCUACAGCUCAACUGUAGAACUGCCAUUGAAACUGCUGUUCUUGAGUGUAGUUGAAGUGGGCGGAAUGUGUCAUGUAGCGGUGAAAUGCAUAGAUAUGACACAGAACACCAAUUGCGUAGGCAGCUCACUAAGCUAUUACUGACGCUCAGGCACGAAAGCGUGGGUAGCGAACAGGAUUAGAUACCCUGGUAGUCCACGCCGUAAACGAUGAUUACUCGAUGCUGGCGAUAUACUGUCAGUGUCCAAGCGAAAGUGUUAAGUAAUCCACCUGGGGAGUACGAUCGCAAGAUUGAAACUCAAAGGAAUUGACGGGGGCCCGCACAAGCGGAGGAACAUGUGGUUUAAUUCGAUGAUACGCGAGGAACCUUACCUGGGCUUAAAUGCAAGAUGACAGGCUGGGAAACCAGUCCUUCUUCGGACAACUUGCAAGGUGCUGCAUGGCUGUCGUCAGCCCGUGCCGUGAGGUGUCGGGUUAAGUCCCAUAACGAGCGCAACCCCUAUUCUUAGUUGCCAGCGGAUAAUGCCGGGGACUCUAAGAAAACUGCCCGCGCAAGCGGAGAGGAAGGUGGGGAUGACGUCAAGUCAGCACGGCCCUUACGUCCAGGGCAACACACGUGUUACAAUGGCUGGUACAGAGGGCAGCUACCUGGUAACAGGAUGCUAAUCUCUAAAACCGGUCUCAGUUCGGAUCGAAGUCUGCAACUCGACUUCGUGAAGUCGGAUUCGCUAGUAAUCGCGCAUCAGCUAUGGCGCGGUGAAUACGUUCCCGGGCCUUGUACACACCGCCCGUCAAGCCAUGGAAGCUAGGGGUACCUGAAGUCGGUAACCGUAAGGAACCGCCUAGGGUAAAACUGGUAACUGGGGCUAAGUCGUAACAAGGUAGCCGUACCGGAAGGUGUGGCUGGAAUACCUCCUUUCU